rnacentral:rRNA from 1 species
CAAGUCGAACGAGAGAGAGGGAGCUUGCUUCCUCAAUCGAGUGGCGAACGGGUGAGUAACGCGUGAGGAACCUGCCUCAAAGAGGGGGACAACAGUUGGAAACGACUGCUAAUACCGCAUAAGCCCACGACCCGGCAUCGGGUUGAGGGAAAAGGAGCAAUCCGCUUUGAGAUGGCCUCGCGUCCGAUUAGCUAGUUGGAGAGGUAAUGGCCCACCAAGGCAACGAUCGGUAGCCGGACUGAGAGGUUGAACGGCCACAUUGGGACUGAGACACGGCCCAGACUCCUACGGGAGGCAGCAGUGGGGAAUAUUGCACAAUGGGGGAAACCCUGAUGCAGCGACGCCGCGUGGAGGAAGAAGGUCUUCGGAUUGUAAACUCCUGUUGUUGAGGAAGAUAAUGACGGUACUCAACAAGGAAGUGACGGCUAACUACGUGCCAGCAGCCGCGGUAAAACGUAGGUCACAAGCGUUGUCCGGAAUUACUGGGUGUAAAGGGAGCGCAGGCGGGAAGACAAGUUGGAAGUGAAAUCUAUGGGCUCAACCCAUAAACUGCUUUCAAAACUGUUUUUCUUGAGUAGUGCAGAGGUAGGCGGAAUUCCCGGUGUAGCGGUGGAAUGCGUAGAUAUCGGGAGGAACACCAGUGGCGAAGGCGGCCUACUGGGCACCAACUGACGCUGAGGCUCGAAAGUGUGGGUAGCAAACAGGAUUAGAUACCCUGGUAGUCCACACCGUAAACGAUGAUUACUAGGUGUUGGAGGAUUGACCCCUUCAGUGCCGCAGUUAACACAAUAAGUAAUCCACCUGGGGAGUACGACCGCAAGGUUGAAACUC